rnacentral:rRNA from 1 species
ACCCGACCGUUGACAAAGGAAAUUUAGGCUCUCGCAUCGAUGAAGAACGUAGCAAAAUGCGAUACUUGGUGUGAAUUGCAGAAUCCCGUGAAUCAUCGAGUUUUUGAACGCAAGUUGCGCCCGAAGCCCUU